rnacentral:rRNA from 1 species
CAGUAGCCGCGGGAAUACGUAGGGUGCGAGCGUUAAUCGGAAUUACUGGGCGUAAAGCGUGCGCAGGCGGUUAUAUAAGACAGGUGUGAAAUCCCCGGGCUCAACCUGGGACCUGCAUUUGUGACUGUAUAGCUAGAGUACGGUAGAGGGGGAUGGAAUUCCGCGUGUAGCAGUGAAAUGCGUAGAUAUGCGGAGGAACACCGAUGGCGAAGGCAAUCCCCUGGACCUGUACUGACGCUCAUGCACGAAAGCGUGGGGAGCAAACAGGAUUAGAUACCCCAGUAGUCCCUGUCUCUUAUAA